rnacentral:rRNA from 1 species
AACGAACGCUGGCGGCAGGCUUAACACAUGCAAGUCGAGCGCCCCGCAAGGGGAGCGGCAGACGGGUGAGUAACGCGUGGGAAGCUACCCAUCUCUACGGAAUAACGCAUGGAAACGUGUGCUAAUACCGUAUACGUCCUUCGGGAGAAAGAUUUAUCGGAGAUGGAUGAGCCCGCGUGGGAUUAGCUAGUUGGUGGGGUAAAGGCCUACCAAGGCGACGAUCCAUAGCUGGUCUGAGAGGAUGAUCAGCCACACUGGGACUGAGAAACGGCCCAGACUCCUACGGGAGGCAGCAGUGGGGAAUAAUGGACAAUGGGCGCAAGCCUGAUCCAGCCAUGCCGCGUGAGUGAUGAAGGCCCUAGGGUUGUAAAGCUCUUUCACCGGUGAAGAUAAUGACGGUAACCGGAGAAGAAGCCCCGGCUAACUUCGUGCCAGCCGCCGCAGUAAGAC